GACGAACGCUGGCGGCGUGCCUAAUACAUGCAAGUUGAGCGCUGAAGGUUGGUACUUGUACCGACUGGAUGAGCAGCGAACGGGUGAGUAACGCGUGGGGAAUCUGCCUUUGAGCGGGGGACAACAUUUGGAAACGAAUGCUAAUACCGCAUAAAAACUUUAAACACAAGUUUUAAGUUUGAAAGAUGCAAUUGCAUCACUCAAAGAUGAUCCCGCGUUGUAUUAGCUCGUUGGUGAGGUAAAGGCUCACCAAGGCGAUGAUACAUAGCCGACCUGAGAGGGUGAUCGGCCACAUUGGGACGGAGACACGGCCCAAACUCCUACGGGAGGCAGCAGUAGGGAAUCUUCGGCAAUGGACGAAAGUCUGACCGAGCAACGCCGCGUGAGUGAAGAAGGUUGUCGGAUCGUAAAACUCUGUUGGUAGAGAAGAACGUUAGUGAGAGUGGAAAGCUCAUCAAGUGACGGUAACUACCCAGAAAGGGACGGCUAACUACGUG
rnacentral:rRNA from 1 species